rnacentral:rRNA from 1 species
UACGUAGGGUGCAAGCGUUGUCCGGAAUUAUUGGGCGUAAAGAGCUCGUAGGCGGUUUGUCGCGUCUGCUGUGAAAUCUGGGGGCUCAACCCCCAGCCUGCAGUGGGUACGGGCAGACUAGAGUGCGGUAGGGGAGAUUGGAAUUCCCGGUGUAGCGGUGAAAUGCGCAGAUAUCGGGAGGAACGCCGGUGGCGAAGGCGGGUCUCUGGGCAGUAACUGACGCUGAGGAGCGAAAGCGUGGGGAGCGAACAGG